rnacentral:rRNA from 1 species
UACGGAAGGCAGCAGUGGGGAAUCUUGCGCAAUGGGCGAAAGCCUGACGCAGCCAUGCCGCGUGAAUGAUGAAGGUCUUAGGAUUGUAAAAUUCUUUCACCGGGGACGAUAAUGACGGUACCCGGAGAAGAAGCCCCGGCUAACUUCGUGCCAGCAGCCGCGGUAAUACGAAGGGGCUAGCGUUGCUCGGAAUUACUGGGCGUAAAGGGCGCGUAGGCGGAUCGUUAAGUCAGAGGUGAAAUCCCAGGGCUCAACCCUGGAACUGCCUUUGAUACUGGCGAUCUUGAGUAUGAGAGAGGUAUGUGGAACUCCGAGUGUAGAGGUGAAAUUCGUAGAUAUUCGGAAGAACACCAGUGGCGAAGGCGACAUACUGGCUCAUUACUGACGCUGAGGCGCGAAAGCGUGGGGAGCAAACGAGGGAUUAGAUAC